rnacentral:rRNA from 1 species
CGAACGCUGGCGGCAGGCCUAAUACAUGCAAGUCGAACGGCUCUUCGGAGCAGUGGCGGACGGGUGAGUAACGCGUGGGAAUGUGCCCUUUGGUACGGAACAACACAGGGAAACUUGUGCUAAUACCGUAUGUGCCCUUCGGGGGAAAGAUUUAUCGCCAUUGGAGCAGCCCGCGUUGGAUUAGGUAGUUGGUGAGGUAAAGGCUCACCAAGCCUACGAUCCAUAGCUGGUCUGAGAGGAUGACCAGCCACACUGGGACUGAGACACGGCCCAGACUCCUACGGGAGGCAGCAGUGGGGAAUCUUGCGCAAUGGGGGCAACCCUGACGCAGCCAUGCCGCGUGAAUGAUGAAGGCCUUAGGGUUGUAAAGUUCUUUUGCCCGUGACGAUGAUGACGGUAACGGGAGAAUAAGCUCCGGCUAACUUCGUGCCAGCCGCCGCAGUAACAC